rnacentral:lncRNA from 1 species
AGAGGAAGAAGAUGUGCCAGUGGCAGUGGAAGAGAGUUACUCUGGGAACUAUAUUGUGGUAUUUGACCCUCUUGAUGGAUCAUCCAACAUUGAUGCUGCUGUUUCAACAGGUUCAAUUUUUGGGAUAUACAGUCCCAACGAUGAAUGCCUAGCAGAAAUAGAUGAUGAUUCCACUGUAAGUAGCCUGUCUGAAUUUUCUAUCCUAUAUGCAAAAUUUGAGAUAAAAGCUUCAUUGUUACAUGCAUGGCCUGCAGCUUGGUUCAGCAGAACAAAGAUGUGUUGUGAAUGUGUGCCAACCAGGGAGUAAUCUAUUAGCUGCUGGAUACUGCAUGUACUCGAGCUCUAUAAUCUUUGUGCUCACGUUAGGGAAUGGAGUGUACGCGUUCACCUUGGAUCCAAUGUAUGGUGAAUUCGUGUUAACUCAAGAAAAAAUUCAGAUACCAAAAGCCGGGAAAAUAUAUGCAUUCAAUGAAGGGAAUUACCAAUUGUGGGAUGAUAAGUUGAAGAAGUAUAUUGAUGACCUUAAAGACCCUGGCCUUAGUGGCAAGCCUUAUUCAGCUAGAUACAUUGGAAGCUUGGUUGGAGACUUUCACCGGACACUGCUAUAUGGUGGAAUCUACGGUUACCCUAGAGACAAAAAGAGCAAAAAUGGUAAGCUGAGACUCUUGUAUGAAUGUGCACCAAUGAGCUUUAUUGUGGAACAAGCUGGUGGGAAAGGAUCUGAUGGACAUCAAAGAAUCCUUGAU